ensembl:misc_RNA Y_RNA Y RNA
GGCUGGUCCGAAAAAAAAAAAAAGGUAGUGAGUUAUCUCACUUGAUUGUUCAGUCAGUUACAGAAUGAACUCCUUGUUCUACUACUUUCCCCCCUCCUCACUACUGCACUUGACUAGUCUUAA